rnacentral:rRNA from 1 species
UAAGGAAUAUUGCUCAAUGGGAGAAAUCCUGAAGCAGCAACGCCGCGUGGAGGAUGAAGGGUCUAUGACUUGUAAACUCCUGUAAAGAAGGAAAAAAUUCCCAUUUGAUGGGAGAUGAUGGUACUUCUGGAGUAAGCCCCGGCUAACUACGUGCCAGCAGCCGCGGUAAUACGUAGGGGGCAGGCGUUGUCCGGAUUUUCUGGGUGUAAAGGGUGCUCAGGCGGAUUUGUAAGUCAGAGGUGAAAUCUUACAGCUUAACUGUGAAGCUGCCUUUGAUACUGCAAGCCUAGAGUAUGGAAGAGAGUGAUGGAAUAUCUGGUGUAGCAGUGAAAUGCGUAGGUAUCAGAUAGAACACCAAUGGCGAAGGCAGUCACUUGGUCCAUUACUGACGCUAAAGCACGAAAGCGUGGGUAGCAAACA